ACCUGAUCCAGCAAUGCCGCGUGAGUGAUGAAGGCCUUCGGGUGUAAAGCUCUUUCGCACGCGACGAUGAUGACGGUAGCGUGAGAAGAAGCCCCGGCUAACUUCGUGCCAGCAGCCGAGGUAAUACGAAGGGGGCUAGCGUUGUUCGGAAUUACUGGGCGUAAAGGGCGCGUAGGCGGUGUGUCAAGUCAGGCGUGAAAGCCCCGGGCUCAACCUGGGAACCGCGCUUGAGACUGGCACGCUAGAGCUCGGGAGAGGAUGGUGGAAUUCCCAGUGUAGAGGUGAAAUUCGUAGAUAUUGGGAAGAACACCGAUGGCGAAGGCAGCCAUCUGGACCGACACUGACGCUGAGGCGCGAAGGCGUGGGGAGCAAACAGGAUUAGAUACCCUGGUAGUCCACGCCGUAAACGAUGAGUGCUAGACGUCGGGGCCCUCAGGGCUUCGGUGUCGCAGCUAACGCGUUAAGCACUCCGCCUGGGGAGUACGGCCGCAAGGUUA
rnacentral:rRNA from 1 species